rnacentral:rRNA from 1 species
AUACGGAGGGUGCAAGCGUUAUCCGGAAUUAUUGGGUUUAAAGGGUCCGUAGGCGGCUAGAUAAGUCAGUGGUGAAAUACUCUCGCUCAACGAGAGGGGUGCCAUUGAUACUGUUUUGGCUAGAGUUACAGUGAGGUGAUUGGAAUGUGUAGUGUAGCGGUGAAAUGCAUAGAUAUUACACAGAACACCGAUUGCGAAGGCAGGUCACUAACUGUAUACUGACGCUGAUGGACGAAAGCGUGGGGAGCAAACAGGAUUAGAAACCCUAGUAGUCC